AUGUUUCCUGCUGCUCUGUUCCUGUUGCUAGCAGCUGCAGCAGAUGUGAAGUGUGAGCAGCUGACACAGCCAGCCUCUGUGACUCUUCAGCCAGGUCAACCUCUGACCAUCAGYUGUCAGGUCUCUUAUGAUGUUASCAGCUACUGGACAUCUUGGAUCAGACAACCUGCAGGGAAAGGACUGGAGUGGAUUGGAGAUGCAAAAGGAUCUUCAACAGAUUACAAAGAUUCUCUCAGAAWCAAGUUCAGCAUUUCCACAGAGWCCUCCAKUAACACAGUGACUCUGAAAGGACAGAAUCUGCAGCCGGAAGAUGCUGCUGUGUAUUACUGUGCUAGACUCCACAUUUCCUCCUCCCUCUCUGCUUUUCCUCCUCCCUCUCUGCUGUAA